rnacentral:rRNA from 1 species
CAGGCUUAACACAUGCAAGUCGAGGGGCAGCAUGGUCUUAGCUUGCUAAGGCCGAUGGCGACCGGCGCACGGGUGAGUAACACGUAUCCAACCUGCCGUCUACUCUUGGACAGCCUUCUGAAAGGAAGAUUAAUACAAGAUGGCAUCAUGAGUCCGCAUGUUCACAUGAUUAAAGGUAUUCCGGUAGACGAUGGGGAUGCGUUCCAUUAGAUAGUAGGCGGGGUAACGGCCCACCUAGUCUUCGAUGGAUAGGGGUUCUGAGAGGAAGGUCCCCCACAUUGGAACUGAGACACGGUCCAAACUCCUACGGGAGGCAGCAGUGAGGAAUAUUGGUCAAUGGGCGAGAGCCUGAACCAGCCAAGUAGCGUGAAGGAUGACUGCCCUAUGGGUUGUAAACUUCUUUUAUAAAGGAAUAAAGUCGGGUAUGGAUACCCGUUUGCAUGUACUUUAUGAAUAAGGAUCGGCUAACUCCGUGCCAGCAGCCGCGGUAAUACGGAGGAUCCGAGCGUUAUCCGGAUUUAUUGGGUUUAAAGGGAGCGUAGAUGGAUGUUUAAGUCAGUUGUGAAAGUUUGCGGCUCAACCGUAAAAUUGCAGUUGAUACUGGAUAUCUUGAGUGCAGUUGAGGCAGGCGGAAUUCGUGGUGUAGCGGUGAAAUGCUUAGAUAUCACGAAGAACUCCGAUUGCGAAGGCAGCCUGCUAAGCUGCAACUGACAUUGAGGCUCGAAAGUGUGGGUAUCAAACAGGAUUAGAUACCCUGGUAGUCCACACGGUAAACGAUGAAUACUCGCUGUUUGCGAUAUACAGCAAGCGGCCAAGCGAAAGCGUUAAGUAUUCCACCUGGGGAGUACGCCGGCAACGGUGAAACUCAAAGGAAUUGACGGGGGCCCGCACAAGCGGAGGAACAUGUGGUUUAAUUCGAUGAUACGCGAGGAACCUUACCCGGGCUUAAAUUGCAGAUGAAUUACGGUGAAAGCCGUAAGCCGCAAGGCAUCUGUGAAGGUGCUGCAUGGUUGCCGUCAGCUCGUGCCGUGAGGUGUCGGCUUAAGUGCCAUAACGAGCGCAACCCUUGUUGUCAGUUACUAACAGGUUCCGCUGAGGACUCUGACAAGACUGCCAUCGUAAGAUGUGAGGAAGGUGGGGAUGACGUCAAAUCAGCACGGCCCUUACGUCCGGGGCUACACACGUGUUACAAUGGGGGGUACAGAGGGCCGCUACCACGCGAGUGGAUGCCAAUCCCCAAAACCUCUCUCAGUUCGGACUGGAGUCUGCAACCCGACUCCACGAAGCUGGAUUCGCUAGUAAUCGCGCAUCAGCCACGGCGCGGUGAAUACGUUCCCGGGCCUUGUACACACCGCCCGUCAAGCCAUGGGAGCCGGGGGUACCUGAAGUGCGUAACCGCGAGGAGCGCCCUAGGGUAAAACUGGUGACUGG